UUUAUCGCGCGAUCCCUUGAGUUGAUCAUGGCUCAGAAUGAACGCUGGCGGCGUGCCUUACACAUGCAAGUCGAGCGAGGCCAGGUAGCAAUACCUGAGUCGAGCGGCGAACGGGUGAGUAACACGUGGGUGACCUACCUCGAGGUGGGGGAUAACCCGGGGAAACUCGGGCUAAUACCGCAUAACAUCGUGAGAUCAAAGCAGGCGAAAGCUUGCGCCGUGAGAGGGGCCCUCGUCCGAUUAGCUAGUUGGUGAGGUAAUGGCUCACCAAGGCGACGAUCGGUAGCCGGCCUGAGAGGGCGAUCGGCCACACUGGAACUGAGACACGGUCCAGACUCCUACGGGAGGCAGCAGUGGGGAAUUUUGCGCAAUGGGGGAAACCCUGACGCAGCAACGCCGCGUGGAGGAUGAAGGUCCUUGGAUUGUAAACUCCUGUCAGCAGGGAAGAAGGCCUCACGGUGAAUAUCCGUGAGGAUUGACGGUACCUGCAGAGGAAGCCCCGGCUAACUCUGUGCCAGCAGCCGCGGUAAUACAGAGGGGGCAAGCGUUAUUCGGAAUUAUUGGGCGUAAAGGGCGCGUAGGCGGCUUCGCAAGUGGUGGGUGAAAUCCCUCGGCUUAACCGAGGAACUGCCCCCCAAACUGCGUUGCUUGAGUCCGGGAGAGGUGAGUGGAAUUCCCAGUGUAGCGGUGAAAUGCGUAGAUAUUGGGAGGAACACCAGUGGCGAAGGCGGCUCACUGGACCGGAACUGACGCUGAGGCGCGAAAGCGUGGGGAG
rnacentral:rRNA from 1 species